rnacentral:rRNA from 1 species
AGGACGAACGCUGGCGGCGUGCUUAACACAUGCAAGUCGAACGAGGCGCUUGCGCCUAGUGGCGAACGGGUGAGUAACACGUGAGCAACCUGCCCUUGGCUCUGGGAUAGCCUCCGGAAACGGGGAUUAAUACCGGACAUGACCUUCUCCUGCAUGGGGGAGGGUGGAAAGUUUUUCGGCCAGGGAGGGCUCGCGGCCUAUCAGCUUGUUGGGGGGGUAACGGCCCACCAAGGCGACGACGGGUAGCCGGCCUGAGAGGGUGUCCGGCCACACUGGGACUGAGAUACGGCCCAGACUCCUACGGGAGGCAGCAGUGGGGAAUAUUGCACAAUGGGCGCAAGCCUGAUGCAGCGACGCCGCGUGAGGGAUGACGGCCUUCGGGUUGUAAACCUCUUCAGUAUCGACGAAGCGCAAGUGACGGUAGGUACAGAAGAAGCACCGGCCAACUACGCGCCAGCAGCCGC